GAUGAACGCUGGCGGCGUGCCUAAUACAUGCAAGUCGAGCGAACAGACGAGGAGCUUGCUCCUCUGACGUUAGCGGCGGACGGGUGAGUAACACGUGGAUAACCUACCUAUAAGACUGGGAUAACUUCGGGAAACCGGAGCUAAUACCGGCCCAUAUAUUGAACCGCAUGGUUCAAUAGUGAAAGACGGUUUUGCUGUCACUUAUAGAUGGAUCCGCGCCGCAUUAGCUAGUUGGUAAGGUAACGGCUUACCAAGGCAACGAUGCGUAGCCGACCUGAGAGGGUGAUCGGCCACACUGGAACUGAGACACGGUCCAGACUCCUACGGGAGGCAGCAGUAGGGAAUCUUCCGCAAUGGGCGAAAGCCUGACGGAGCAACGCCGCGUGAGUGAUGAAGGUCUUCGGAUCGUAAAACUCUGUUAUUAGGGAAGAACAAAUGUGUAAGUAACUAUGCACGUCUUGACGGUACCUAAUCAGAAAGCCACGGCUAACUACGUG
rnacentral:rRNA from 1 species